GUUUGCUGGUUGACAGAUAUCUCAAGAGUCGCCAUAUGCAGUACGAAGAAUUGGACAACCUAUUAUUGGAUCUUCAUCGGUUUUCAGGUGAGAAUUGUUUUUGAUGAGUUUCAGAGUCUCUCAAGAAGUUGGAAAACAACCUUUGGUCUAGGAGGAAGUCCUACCAAUUGUGAGUGAAUCAAUUCAAGAAUGAAAUUGGCUGAUGUGAUUGGAAAGAGAAAUGUUUAGAAAUAUGUGGGAUGUGGGAGACCUGUCGUUUGCUUUAUGAUUCACAGGCUGAGGAUUUCUUCAGUGGACAACUGGCUAGCUAAAGAGGUCUGUGUUGCUUUCUUCUUUAAAUGUAAUGGAUGUUAUUGUGUAAAAGUAUGGGAUAAUAUUUGUAUUGUUGCGGGAGGGUUGUUUCUCUUUUUUUUUCUAACCAAUAGUUUCAAAGAAGAGAAGAGCAUCUUCUUCUAUAGAGAAAUUGAAAUGUAAGAACCUUUCUAUUCUACUAUUCCAAAAGUAAAGAUGUUCUUGGGAUCAAGUCAGUACAAUGCAUAAUUUCAACAUGUCCUUGUGGGAUGAUGGGAAAGAGCCUCUUUGUGUGCCUGUCUAUGUAGUUUGCUGGUUGACAGAUAUCUCAAGAGUCGCCAUAUGCAGUACGAAGAAUUGGACAACCUAUUAUUGGAUCUUCAUCGGUUUUCAGGUGAGAAUUGUUUUUGAUGAGUUUCAGAGUACUUCCAAGAAGUUGGAAAACAACCUUUGGUCUAGGAGGAAGUCCUACCAAUUGUGAGUGAAUCCAUUAAAGAAUGAAAUUGGCUGAUGUGAUUGGAAAGAGAAAUGUUUAGAAAUAUGUGGGAUGUGGGAGACCUGUCGUUUGCUUUAUGAUUCACAGGCUGAGGAUUUCUUCAGGGGACAACUGGCUAACUAAAGAGGUCUGUGUUGCUUUCUUCUUUAAAUGUAAUGGAUUUUAUUGUGUAAAAGUAUGGGAUAAUAUUUGUAAUGUUGUUGCGGGAGGGUUGUGUCUCUUUUUUUUUUCUAACCAAUAGUUUCAAAGAAGAGAGAAGAGCAUCUUCUUCUAUAGAGAAAUUGAAAUGUAAGAACCUUUCUAUUCUACUAUUACAAAAGUAAAGAUGUUCUUGGGAUAAAGUCAGUACAAUGCAUAAUUUCAACAUGUCCUUGUGGGAUGAUGGGAAAGAGCCUCUUUGUGUGCCUGUCUAUGUAGUUUGCUGCUUGACAGAUAUCUCAAGAGUCGCCAUAUGCAGUACGAAGAAUUGGACAACGUACUAUUGGAUCUUCAUCGGUUUUCAGGUGAGAAUUGUUUUUGAUGAGUUUCAGAGUACUUGAAGAAGUUGGAAAACAACCUUUGGUCUAGGAGGAAGUCCUACCAAUUGUGAGUGAAUCCAUUAAAGAAUGAAAUUGGCUGAUGUGAUUGGAAAGAGAAAUGUUUA